GUGAGUUCUGGAGGUCACGCUCUGUUUCAUAAAUGAAAAGCUGGGGCAGGGGCCUUGCCACACGGACACUCCUCGGGCCUCACAAGCUCCUGUGGGUGACCAGGCUGCUCCCCACCGCCGGCGUGGGCUGUUGCUACCCUGCACAUCCCUCGGGUGGGCAGCGGUGCUUGAAACGCCAGCUCCCGCCCUUCCUGCCUAGUGGCUUGACGGCUUCAUUGUGCUAACCACCCAGGCAAGCUUGCGUGACUAACGGAGGAGCGUCUCCCCUUAGAUUCUUCCCGCCCGGAGCCGGGGACAGCAGAAAACCACCUGACCUCCAGAUUCUCUCUCGUCCAGUGGAGAUUCUCCUGCCCGAAGGCAGGCGCUCUCCAAGGUCCCUCUCCCCAGAAGAGCCACGAUCCCAGGAAGCCGGCUUGUGCAGAGGAAAGAACCGCACCUCGUUGUCAGAACAACCCCAGCUCUGCCACCUACACCUUGUGUGACCUUGGGCAAGUCAGAGAAACUUCUCAGAUGCACAAUCUCGUCACGCUCCUAGUUUCCAAGCCCACACACCUGAGGGUCAAUGUCCCUUAUUGCACCCCCACCCCAUACCGACUCCAUCAGCAAGUCCUGUUUGUUCUUGCCCCAAGUAUCUCUCCUGUCUGCCCAUUCCCUGCAUCUCCCCCGUCACCACCCCGGGCCAGUCCCCGUUACCCGCACCUGGAGGUCUGCACCAGCCCCACCUGCACUCCGGCGUCCACUCUCGCCCCCAUUGCUGUGAUCUCCACACAACCACGAGCGGCCUUGAGAGCGCAGCGAGGCCGUGAGGCUGCGCAGAGCCCCUCAGUCAGCAGGACCGCGCUCACGGUUCAGUGGGCCGUCUGCUAGAGGCUUUCCGCAGUUCAUUCCUUCUCCCCACACAACUCUGAAGUCACCGGUGAGUUCUGAGGAGGGCUCUGGAAGGGGAAAUAAG
rnacentral:lncRNA from 1 species